CCGAAGUCCAGAAAUCAUCCAUCAAGUGAAACAGCAGAUGGACAAUGUCAACUACAGUUCAGUACUUGUGAGGACUUCACUGCUGAUACUCAUUUAGGAAAAACAACUCACAUAGGCGUGUGUUGGAUCUGUCUAUGAAGAGGAGAUGGAAAUAAGAGGAUUGAGUCACAGAUUUAUCUAUUCAGAAUUGGGUCUUUAUCCUUGAAGAUUCAAGGGAGGAAUUGCUGUGUGAGAUUAUUGUCAAAAGAUUUUCUAAGGGAGCGUUCUCUACUGUUGACCAUUCAACGUUCAUGACAACCUUGUAAGUGAGAGCACAAGAGGGAGGAGCAGAGAGAGAAUCUCAAGCAGACUCCACGCCAAGUGCAGAGCCAGAUCUCAUGACCCUGAUAUCAUAACCUGAGCAAAAACCAAGAGUCAGACACUUAACUGACUGAGCCACUCAGGUAUAUAAUCAGAGGGAAUCUGUCUGCAAACCAGCAAGAGGACUCUUACAGAAGCCAAACUGACUGGCACUUUGAACUUACACUCCCUAGUCUCCAGAACUGUAAUAAACUUCUAUUUAAGUCACCCUGUCUGUGCUACUUUUGUUACAGGAACCUCGAGUUGCUCUCUUUAAUUUCUCACUCAUUCCAGUGAGUUAGGUAUUAUCUACAUUUCAUAGAUUGACAGCAAAAGCUAAGAGGCAAAAACUUGUCCAAGGUCACAUCUACUAAACAGAGGUGGGAAACUUGAACCCAGACCAUCAAACUACAAAGGUAGAGUUAAACUACUAGACUAUACACUAAGAGAAUAGUGGGUUAUAAACUAAAUAGCUUGUCAGAUGCCCCUUCAGAAUGAAUAGUGAACAUGUUUGCAUCACCACAUCACAUCAAUUGUUCUCCAUAACUACCAGAUUGCCAUAGCUUUCCCAAUACUUCUGAAGGCAGACCAUGUCAUCUGAUACAUACUAAGAAUUCAAUAACUAUUUAUUUAAAAAACUGAUAAAUUUGUCAAUUUUAUACUGACCACAUUGUAUUAGGAAAAUUACCUUUCGAUAUUUACAUAAAAACCUAAUAAUCAUUAUAAUCAUCUUUUAUGGUUAGUUAUUGCCUGACUUUUAAUCCUAACAUAGCUGUUAUCAACUGAAAUGAAAUAGCUGAUAUUUGACAGUUUUAUCAUCAAAAAAAGCAUA